rnacentral:misc_RNA from 1 species
AAAAAAAAAAAAAAGGAAAAAUCUAGAUUUUGUAAAUGACUAUCACCUCCGAGGAAUCCAAAUGUUAAAGACUUAAAUUUUCUAAUGCCUGUCUUUAAUGUUGUAAAUUGCAUAAAUCACAAAAAUAAAUUAAGACACAAAAAGGAAUGGUGAGAACUCAAUAGAGGAGAGGGAUUUUCUUCAAUGAUGGUGUGGUGAGGAGAUGUGAGGUCUUAAGAAAGAAUAUGCAACAGAAAACAAGAGGAAACAAGAGCAAAACAAAGAUUCUAAAGAAAGGAAGAGAAGAAGAAAUGAUGAUUAGGUAGGGAGGAGACUGUGGAAAGGGCGACUGUUGGCUU